rnacentral:lncRNA from 1 species
AAAGUUUAGAAGUCACUCCUUAAUUUAACACAAAUCAAUCACAUAAAUUAUAGAGAAAGAUAAAAACAAUUAAAAAUAAAAAAUAAAAAGAGAAAAAGAUAAUUGUCUUCUUGUACAAUAACUAAUUGAGGGUUAUGAAUAUGAAAGGCUUGGGAGUUAUGGAUAUUACUAAUAUUUAAGAUUAAAAUUUACAUAAUUGAAUGUAUGAAUUAAGGAUAUAAUUUUGUAAAAUAAAUUAAUUGUAAGAAAUGAGAAAAAAUGUCAAAUAAAAAGGUGUUACAUCAUUUUAUCUAUGUUUCUCCUUUAUAUCUAUUUUUAGUAUAACGACAAACAAAGUGAACAAAUUGUGUGUUGUAAUUUAAACUAUUUAGAGAAAAUAAAUAUAUAUAUAUAUAUAUGUGUGUGUGUGUGUGUGUGUGUGUGUGUGUGUGUGUGUGUGUGCGCAUAUAUAAUUCUGCAAAGGACAUUCAUGUCAAGUGAUUAUUAUGUCCUACUCCUCAAAUCUUCACAUAAUCAUCAUUUCAUCUUCAUUUUAUUCGUUCACUAUCUUCUUCUUAUCCCUAUAAAAAAUAAUACAGCACAAAAAUGAAUAUAUCAUGAAUAAGAAUUAUAAGAAAAUAAAUUUAAAUCAAGCAUGUUCUUACUUAGAAGUUACAAAUAAUAUAGGAUAAUACUAAUAACAAAUUUAGUGUAAAGCAAACCAAAAGAAUAAUACAUGAAGAAGGAGAAAAAACAACAUACCCAAAAAAAAAAGAAUAAGGAGGAUAUUUUAGAAGGUACACAAAUGAUUUUUUUUAAAAGAAUAUAUGUAAGUUCAAAAAAUAUAUAGUUAAUGAAAUAUUCUUAAUUUUGUUUAUGGGGGAAGAAGACUUAUAAUGCUUCUAUUUAUAGGAUAACAACAUGGAAUAUGAAAUGAUAUCAUCAAAGGAGUUAGGAUCAUCAAAGGUCAUGAGAGUAAUGAAAAUAAAAAAUAUUAAAUUUUUAUAUUAAAGGAUAUAAGUAAAUAUAGGAGUAGUAAUUGAUCCAUUUAUUUUGAUUAUUAAACAAAUCCAUUGAUAAAUGAAAAAUAAAGAAAAAAAUUCAAAAAUCCCCCAAAAAAGAUAAAUAGUUUUUUUGAUUCUUAGGCAUGCCACAUAGGAUGGACUAAUACUCUCUUAUAUAUAUAUAUAUUGAUUAUAACAAUACCAUAUAAAGCCUACCAUAAAAGGUAUGUACACUUUAACCUUAUCAGGAGAAUAAAACAAUUAUUAUCGAAAGACUCUUGGCUCAAAUAACAUAUGUCAUUAUAUUGUACCAUAUUAUUUUGAUGAAUAUGACAUGUGAAUAGUUUGUUUGUUUUUUCAUCGUUUGAAUAUGACUUUAUAUUAUAGGCAUAACAUACAAAUGUGUUUUUAAUUGAUCUCAACUUACAUUUUUGUCUUUUAAAUUUGAGUGUGCACAAAUGCAUAUUAAAACUAACAUAAAAUUGAAUAAGUAAACACACAUCUUAAUGACAAAUCGUGCAUGAUUCGACAUGUAAUAUGCAUGCAUUUCACUCGAUUUAUCAUGUAAAGUGAAUUUUUUCGUCAUUAUAAGACAAGGAAGCACGGCCCAAUAUAGUUUACUUUUUAUUUUAUUUUAUAUGAAGUUGAUUUCCGUUUGAGGAGUUAAGUUGCAUGAUUUUAAUUAUUUUAAGUUGCUAAAUAUUUUUUUGUAGUUGGUAAUUAUUAAAAUUUAUAUAAAGUUGUUUAUUAAUUUUUUGUAAGUGUUAAUUAUUGUGAUUUAUGAUAUGUUUCAAUUUAUGCGGCAUUGAUAGAAUUUGUCAUUUGAAAAGUCAGUUAAUUUUUUCAUGUAGAAGUAAAUAUUUUAUUUUAUUAAUUACUGUGAUUUAUAAUACUUUAUAUAUAUAUUUUAAAUAUUUUAUGUUGUUAGUUAUUGUGAUUUAUAAUAAUGUUUACGUAGUAGAUAUUUGAUCAUGGAUAUUAUUCAUAAUUUUUUAAAAUACGUUUUUAUUUUAUUUCAAAAUACUUGUUUGCUCAUAAAUAUUUUUAAAAAUGUGCUCAUAAUAUUUGAAAUUUUUCAUUAUUUUUAAAUUCACUUUUUUUAUUUUUAAUUUAUUUUUAAAAAAAUAAAAUUUUAUUUUUUCACAAAAUAAUUCAAUUUUCAUAAAACUUUAAAUUUUUUUUAAAAUCUAUUUCUACUUUUUAUUUUUUUAACUUCAAAAAUAUCCAAUUUCAAAAUAUAUGGUCAAACACAACUCCAACUCUAUUUUUAAUUUUAACUAUAUCAAAUAAAGUAAAUAUACUUUUAAUUUUUAUGUCCUAAGUGAAUUCUUAAUUUUUAACUCUAUAAUUUAUAAAAAAAGAUAAACAGAUGGGGCAAACCAAUCUAGUAAAUAACAGUUUCUUCACCUUUAUUAUCAUCAAACAAACGUAGAUCUAACUUCCAGAGGUCCAACUGUUCUCUUUAUCCCAUCAGCUUGCUUCACCAACAUCCUACUUAUCAAAAAGGAAACCAAAGAAUGGGAUCUAAAAGUUAGUCAAGGUGCACUUGUUCAUGCCUUUCUUGAAUCGUUGCUUAGUUAGUAGAAUCUUCAAAAAAUCAAUUGCAAAUGCGGAAGGAAGAAUUUGACAUGCACUAAAAUGUGUUGUGAAAUAGUGUAUUGGGCAACAAAUUCAAAGGUUGGAGAUAUGUUAUUGUUGUUGCUGGUACUGUUGCAGUCAUGACAGAUGUGUUGUCUUCUUUGCCCUGAUUUCUGAUUUGAGACUCAAAAUUGAAACUUUUGGCAGUUAGAAGGAUAUAGGAUUUUAGAUCUACCACUUGCUUCUUCUCUGUCGUUACCAUCAUCAUCAUCACUUUCUAUGUGGGCUCUGAAAGGGAAUUUUAGCGCUAGUUGAGAUUUGUUGUUGAAAUGGCAAUAGUGGCCUAUUGAGGGUUUUGUGACGGCUGAAAUUAUUGUGAUGCGAAAUGACAAUAUUGCCCUUAUAGCCUAAGUUUGAUAAAGUCUUCUGUUUAUGGUUAAAUCCUUAAAACUAUUCCCGCCAAACAUAACAAUGAAGUUCGGAAAAUAUUUCAUCGAAGACUAAAACUAUUAACUUUUGGCAAGUACUAAAAUUAUUGAUGCAUAUUUAAAAUUUUCUCCUAUCAUUUUACCUAAGAAUCACAAAAGGCUGAACCUUAGGGUGUGUUUGAUAUGAAAAAUAUUAUUUUUCACAAAAUAUUUUUUAAUUAAUAAAUUAAUAUGUUAUUAAAUGCACUAUAUUAUGCGAAUGCCAUUUAAAUGCAAUCUAUUCAUUACUCUUUAUAAUAUCAUUAUGUGUAGUAAUAUCGACGCCUCUACCUGGUUAAUAUUGUGUUUAUGACAUCCUUUGAUGUUCAUCUAUGCAGUCUUAUAAUUAG